rnacentral:tRNA from 1 species
GCGGGGAUGGCGGAGCGGUCAAACGUGCUUGACUAAGGAUCAAGUGGCUUAGUGCCUUCGGAGGUUCGAAUCCUUCUCCCCGCA